rnacentral:rRNA from 1 species
UACGUAGGGGGCUAGCGUUGUCCGGAAUCAUUGGGCGUAAAGAGCGUGUAGGCGGCCCGGUAAGUCCGCUGUAAAAGUCAAAGGCUCAACCUUUGAAUGUCAGUGGAUACUGCCGGGCUAGAGUCCGGAAGAGGCGAGUGGAACUCCUGGUGUAGCGGUGGAAUGCGUAGAUAUCGGAAGGAACGCCGGUGGCGAAAGCGACGCGCUGGACCUCUUCUGACGCUGAGGCGCGAAAGCCAGGGGAGCAAACGGGG